rnacentral:rRNA from 1 species
UACGGAGGGUGCAAGCGUUGUCCGGAUUUAUUGGGCGUAAAGAGCGUGUAGGCGGCCAUACAGGUCAGCUGUGAAAACUCGAGGCUCAACCUCGAGACGUCGGUUGAAACCGUUUGGCUAGAGUCCGGAAGAGGAGAGUGGAAUUCCCGGUGUAGCGGUGAAAUGCGCAGAUAUCGGGAAGAACACCCGUGGCGAAGGCGGCUCUCUGGGACGGUACUGACGCUGAGACGCGAAAGCGUGGGGAGCGAACAGG